rnacentral:rRNA from 1 species
UACGUAGGGGGCAAGCGUUGUCCGGAAUCAUUGGGCGUAAAGCGCGUGUAGGCGGCCCGAUAAGUCCGCUGUGAAAGUCCAGGGCUCAACCCUGGGAUGCCGGUGGAUACUGUCGGGCUCGAGUGCGGAAGAGGCGAGUGGAAUUCCUGGUGUAGCGGUGAAAUGCGCAGAUAUCAGGAGGAACACCGAUUGCGAAGGCAGCUCGCUGGGACGUUACUGACGCUGAGACGCGAAAAGCGUGGGGGAGCAAACAGG